rnacentral:rRNA from 1 species
AGUUAACGCUGGCGGCGUGCCUAACACAUGCAAGUCGAGCGAAGCGUACCAGAGUAUCGGGCGCUUAGCGGCAGACGGGUGAGUAACACGUAAACUAUCUGCCCUCGAAUGGGAGACAACCGGGCGAAAGUCUGGCUAAUACCCCAUACAAUCCCCUUAAAGCAUUUUAAGGGGAUGAAAGGCCCGCAAGGGUCGUUCGAGGAGGAGUUUGCGGCCUAUCAGCUAGUUGGCGGUGUAACGGACCACCAAGGCUAUGACGGGUAGCCGAUCUAAAAGGAUGACCGGCCACAAGGGCACUGAGACACGGGCCCUACUCCUACGGGAGGCUG